CGGGACGGGUGAGUAAUGUAUGGGGAUCUGCCUGAUGGCGGGGGAUAACUACUGGAAACGGUAGCUAAUACCGCAUAAUGUCUACGGACCAAAGCGGGGGACCUCCGGGCCUCGCGCCAUCAGAUGGACCCAUAUGGGAUUAGCUAGUAGGUAAGGUAACGGCUUACCUAGGCGACGAUCCCUAGCUGGUCUGAGAGGAUGAUCAGCCACACUGGGACUGAGACACGGCCCAG
rnacentral:rRNA from 1 species